rnacentral:rRNA from 1 species
UACGUAGGGAGCAAGCGUUGUUCGGAUUUACUGGGCGUAAAGAGCUCGUAGGCGGCUCGUUGCGUCGGCUGUGAAAACCCGCAGCUCAACUGUGGGCUUGCAGCUGAUACGGGCGGGCUGGAGUUCGGUAGGGGAGACUGGAAUUCCUGGUGUAGCGGUGAAAUGCGCAGAUAUCAGGAGGAACACCGGUGGCGAAGGCGGGUCUCUGGACCGAUACUGACGCUGAGGAGCGAAAGCGUGGGGAGCGAACAGG